AGUGAACGCUGGCGGUAGGCCUAACACAUGCAAGUCGAACGGCAGCACAGUAAGAGCUUGCUCUUACGGGUGGCGAGUGGCGGACGGGUGAGGAAUACAUCGGAAUCUACUUUUUCGUGGGGGAUAACGUAGGGAAACUUACGCUAAUACCGCAUACGACCUACGGGUGAAAGUAGGGGAUCUUCGGACCUUGCGCGAUUGAAUGAGCCGACGUCGGAUUAGCUAGUUGGCGGGGUAAAGGCCCACCAAGGCGACGAUCCGUAGCUGGUCUGAGAGGAUGAUCAGCCACACUGGAACUGAGACACGGUCCAGACUCCUACGGGAGGCAGCAGUGGGGAAUAUUGGACAAUGGGCGCAAGCCUGAUCCAGCCAUACCGCGUGGGUGAAGAAGGCCUUCGGGUUGUAAAGCCCUUUUGUUGGGAAAGAAAAGCAGCAGGUUAAUACCCCGCUGUUCUGACGGUACCCAAAGAAUAAGCACCGGCUAACUUCGUG
rnacentral:rRNA from 1 species